GAGUUUGAUCCUGGCUCAGGAUAAACGCUGGCGGCGUGCCUAACACAUGCAAGUCGAACGCGCUCAGCAAUGAGCGAGUGGCGGACGGGUGAGUAACACGUGGGAACCUACCCUGAGGUGAGGAAUAACCCUGGGAAACCGGGGCUAAUACCGGCGAGAAAUCGCCGACAAGACCGCAUACGCUCUCAUAAGAGAGCAAAGCCGUAAGGCGCCACAGGAUGGGCCCCCGGCCGAUUAGCUAGCUGGUGAGGUAAGAGCUCACCAGGGCCACGAUCGGUAGCUGGUCUGAGAGGACGAUCAGCCACACUGGGAUUGAGAACGGCCCAGACUCCUACGGGGGGCAGCAGUGAGGAAUUUUCCGCAAUGGGCGAAAGUCUGACGGAGCGACGCCGCGUGCAGGAAGACGGCCUUCGGGUUGUAAACUGCUUUUCUGUGGGAAGAGGCAAGGACGUACCCAGGAAGAGCCCCGGCUAACUACGUGCCAGCAGCCGCGGUAAGACGUAGGGGGCGAGCGUUGUCCGGAGUUACUGGGCGUAAAGGGCGCGUAGGCGGUUUCUCGCGUAGCGGCCGACAGCCGGGGGCUUAACCCUCGGAGGUGUCGCUUGACGGGGAGACUGGAGGGCUACAGAGGAACUGGGAAGUCCGGGUGGAGCGGUGAAAUGCGUAGAGACCCGGAGGAACACCGAAGGCGAAGGCAAGGUUCUGGGUAGCCACUGACGCUGAGGCGCGAAAGCCAGGGGAGCGAACGGGAUUAGAUACCCCGGUAGUCCUGGCUGUAAACGAUGACCAUCAGGUGUGCGGGGGAUCGACCCCCUGCGUGCCGGAGCUAACGUGUUCAAUGGUCCGCCUGGGGAGUACGGUCGCAAGAUUAAAACUCAAAGGAAUUGACGGGGACCCGCACAAGCAGCGGAGCGUGUGGUUUAAUUCGAAGCAACGCAAAGAACCUUACCAGGGUUUGACAUGGAGUUGCACCAGGUAGAGAUACCUGUCCCUUCGGGGCGGCUCCACAGGUGCUGCAUGGCUGUCGUCAGCUCGUGCCGUGAGGUGUUGGGUUAAGUCCCGCAACGAGCGCAACCCCUGUUGCCGGUUGGAUAUGUCCGGCGAGACUGCCGCGAGCAACGCGGAGGAAGGUGGGGAUGAUGUCAAGUCAGCACGGCCCUGACAUCCUGGGCGACACACACGCUACAAUGGCCGGGACAACGAGAAGCCAACCAGCGAUGGGGAGCGGAUCUCCACAAACCCGGUCUCAGUGCAGAUUGCAGGCUGCAACCCGCCUGCAUGAAGGAGGAGUUGCUAGUAACCGUGCGUCAGCACAGCACGGUGAAUACGUUCCCGGGUCUUGUACACACCGCCCGUCACACCACGAAAGUCGGCAACACCUGAAGCCGCCKGGCUAACCCGCAGGGGAGGCWGGCGUCGA
rnacentral:rRNA from 1 species